rnacentral:rRNA from 1 species
CUGCUGCCUCCCGUAGGAGUUUGGGCCGUGUCUCAGUCCCAAUGUGGCCGUUCACCCUCUCAGGCCGGCUACUGAUCGUCGCCUUGGUGGGCCUUUACCCCGCCAACAAGCUAAUCAGACACGGAUCCAUCGUAUACCACCAAAAGCUUUAGCUUUUUGUUUUCCACACUGCUUCAUGCGAAGCUGUGCGCUUAUGCGGUAUUAGCACCUAUUUCUAAGUGUUAUCCCCCAGUAUACGGCAGGUUCUCCACGCGUUA